rnacentral:rRNA from 1 species
UAUCUCUGUAGAGUCUGCAUAUCAAUAAGCGGAGGAAAAGAAACUAACAAGGAUUCCCCUAGUAACGGCGAGUGAAGCGGGAAGAGCUCAAAUUUGAAAUCUUCAAGGUUUGACCUUGACGAAUUGUAGUUUAAAGAAGUGUUUUCGGUUAGAGGAGUAGUAAAAGUUCUUUGGAAUAGGACAUCAUAGAGGGUGAGAAUCCCGUAUUUGACUAUUCUUUCUAGCUUUGUGAUACACUUUCAAAGAGUCGGAUUGUUUGGGAAUGCAGUCCAAAGUGGGUGGUAAAUUUCAUCUAAAGCUAAAUAUUGGCGAGAGACCGAUAGCGAACAAGUACCGUGAGGGAAAGAUGAAAAGAACUUUGAAAAGAGAGUUAAACAGUACGUGAAAUUGUCAAAAGGGAAGCGUUUGACACCAGUGUUAUUUUUCCGAAAAUCAAUUAAAAAUUGAUUCAUGCCAGGUUGUAUUGACCUUAUCAGCUUGCAAUUUGGUUUUGGGUCUCUUUUUGAUGCACUUUUCGGUUAACAAGUCAACAUCAAUUUCCUUUGCUGUAAAAAGGUAAGAGGAAGGUGGCUUCAAUUUCGGUUGAAGUGUUUAUAGCCUUUUAUCUCUGCAGUCGGGGAGAUUGAGGUCUGCAGCGUAGAUCCUUCGGGGCUAGAUACAUUUAUGCUAAGUUAUAGCUUUUCAUAGACAACUUGUUGACUAUGUUUAGUCAUGUAGCUUACUCGUAAGUGCUAUUUUACCUACGCUUAGGAUGUUGAAGACUCUACAGAGAUA